GGGCUCGUAGUUUAGUGGUAGAACAGCGGUCUCCAAAACCGCGGGUGGAGGUUCGAUUCCUUCCGGGCCUGCCA
rnacentral:tRNA from 1 species